rnacentral:lncRNA from 1 species
CGGAAGCUGCGGGCCGCGCCUCCCAGGCCGCGCCCUUCCCAGAGACCAGUUUCUGGGCUUUUUAAGGUCAAGUUUUUUGUGCCGCAGAGCGGGCCGGGAUCGUCUGCCUGCGAGGUGGCGGUGCCUACCACAGCGGGUCGGGAGCUUCUGGGAUCCGAGCCGAGAAACGGGACGCUCGAGUCCAUUUGCAGUCUUCACGUAGGAAACGGUGCUAGGGCCCAUGUUCUAGAACUACAUCCUCGGUCACUGUCCCAGUACAGCCAUCUGUAGCACCUCCUCAGUAACUGACGGUGAUGUUCCUUUCCCUACGCUGUUUAUACCAUCAGCCUGGGGUUUUCUUUGGAGGUGACACAAAGGUAAGUUUCAGUUUAUUUAUAGUCAGAUUAAGAUGAAUUCAGAAGCUUCAGAAUAAUAGGAAGCAAAAAAUUGUGCCUUGUAAUUUCUCUCUGCUUUACCUACCUCCCCCAAGCUCUAAAACCUAAGAGUUUUGUGCUAAAGUCUAGAUUUAACCAAGAGAUUCAGGUUAUUUAAUUU